rnacentral:rRNA from 1 species
UGCAGUCGAGCGGAACGAGUUAUCUGAACCUUCGGGGAACGAUAACGGCGUCGAGCGGCGGACGGGUGAGUAAUGCCUAGGAAAUUGCCCUGAUGUGGGGGAUAACCAUUGGAAACGAUGGCUAAUACCGCAUGAUGCCUACGGGCCAAAGAGGGGGACCUUCGGGCCUCUCGCGUCAGGAUAUGCCUAGGUGGGAUUAGCUAGUUGGUGAGGUAAGGGCUCACCAAGGCGACGAUCCCUAGCUGGUCUGAGAGGAUGAUCAGCCACACUGGAACUGAGACACGGUCCAGACUCCUACGGGAGGCAGCAGUGGGGAAUAUUGCACAAUGGGCGCAAGCCUGAUGCAGCCAUGCCGCGUGUAUGAAGAAGGCCUUCGGGUUGUAAAGUACUUUCAGUCGUGAGGAAGGCGGUGUCGUUAAUAGCGGCGUUGUUUGACGUUAGCGACAGAAGAAGCACCGGCUAACUCCGUGCCAGCAGCCGCGGUAAUACGGAGGGUGCGAGCGUUAAUCGGAAUUACUGGGCGUAAAGCGCAUGCAGGUGGUUUGUUAAGUCAGAUGUGAAAGCCCGGGGCUCAACCUCGGAAUAGCAUUUGAAACUGGCAGACUAGAGUACUGUAGAGGGGGGUAGAAUUUCAGGUGUAGCGGUGAAAUGCGUAGAGAUCUGAAGGAAUACCGGUGGCGAAGGCGGCCCCCUGGACAGAUACUGACACUCAGAUGCGA